rnacentral:rRNA from 1 species
GGUUCGAUCAUGGCUCCGUUGAACGCUGUAGGAUGCUACAUAAGUCGAACAGCACGGACUUCGGUCUGGUGGCGAGUGGCGAACGGGUGAGUAAUGUAUCAGGACUUGAUACUAGUAGCGGGGAUAACUACGCGCGAAAGCGUAGCUAAUACCGCAUGCGCCCUUCGAGAAAAGCAGAGGAAGCCUUCGGGCCUCGCACUAUUAAGAGCGGCCGAUAUCGGAUUAGCUAGUUGGUGGGGUAACGCUCUAGGCGACGAUCCGUAGCUGGUUUGAGACGACCAGCCACACUGGGACUUCGAACGGCCCAGACUCCUACGGGGAGGCAGCAGUGGGAAUUUUGGACGAUAGAGCUCUGAUCCAGCCAUCCCGAUAUUGCGAUGAAGGCCUUCGGGUUGUAAAGCACUUUAGCCAGAAGAAACGGCACGGGGAUAAUGCCGGUGCGGCUGACCGGUACCUUGCGGAAUGAAAACACCGGCUAACUGCGUGCCGGCAGCCGCCUUGCUGGUAAUACGUAGGGUGCAAGCGUUAAUCGGAAUUACUGGAGCGUAAAGCGUGCGCAGGCGGUUCGGAAGAAAGAUGUGAAAUCGGAAGCGGCGCUUUUGGAACUGCGUUGCAACUACCGAGCUAGAGUGUGUCAGAGGAGGUGGAAUUCCGCGUGUGGCAGUGAAAUGCGUAGAUAUGCGGAGGAACACCGAUGUGAAGGCGGCCUCCUGGAUAACACUGAUACUCAUGCCGCGAAAGCGUGGGGAGCAAACAGGAUUAGAUACCAGUAGUCCACGCCUAAACAACGAUGUCAACUAGCUGUUGGGAGCCUUCGGGCCUUGGUAGCGCAAUAACGCGUGAAGUUGACCGCCUGGGAAUUACGGUCGCAAGAUUAAAACUCAAAAUUGACAGGGACCCGCACAAGCGGUGGAUGAUGUGGAUUAAUUCGAUACAGCGCGAAAAACCUUACCCUGCCCUUGACAUGUCUGGAAUGCCGAAGAGAUUUGGCAGUGCUCGCAAGAGAACCGGAACACAGGUGCUACAUGGCUGUCGUCAGCUCGUGUCGUGAGAUAUUGGGUUAAGUCCGCAACGAGCGCAACCCUUGUCAUUGGUUGCUUGCGAAGGGCACUCUAAUGAGACUGCCGGUGACAAACCGGAGGAAAAGUGGGAUGACGUCAAGUCCUCGUAGCCAUAUGGGUGGGGCUUCACCACCGUCAUACAAUGGUCGGGACAAAGGUCGCCAACCCGCGGGGAGCCAAUCCGAAACCCAGUCGUGAUCCGGAUCGCAGUCUGCAACUCGACUGCGUGAAGUCGGAAUCGCUGAUAAUCGCGGAUCAGCAUGUCGUAGUGAAUACGUUCCCGGGUCUUGUACACACCGCCGUCACGCAGCAAGUGGGUUUACCAGAGAAGUAGUUAGCCUAACCGCAGGGGCGAUUACCGCGGUAGGAUUCAUGACUGGGGUGAAGUCGUAACAGUGGCUCUGUUACGCCCGCC